UGGGGAAUUGUUCACAAUGGGCGCAAGCCUGAUGACGCAACGCCGCGUGGGGGAUGAAGGCCUUCGGGUCGUAAACCCCUGUCGAAUGGGACGAAUAGCCCGCGAUCUAACAGAACGCGGGAUUGACGGUACCGUUAAAGGAAGCCACGGCUAACUCUGUGCCAGCAGCCGCGGUAAUACAGAGGUGGCAAGCGUUGUUCGGAAUUACUGGGCGUAAAGGGCGCGUAGGCGGCCUUCUAAGUCAGACGUGAAAUCCCCCGGCUUAACCUGGGAACUGCGUCUGAUACUGGGAGGCUUGAGUAUGGGAGAGGGAUGUAGAAUUCCAGGUGUAGCGGUGAAAUGCGUAGAUAUCUGGAGGAAUACCGGUGGCGAAGGCGGCAUCCUGGACCAUAACUGACGCUGAGGCGCGAAAGCUAGGGGAGCAAACGGGAUUAGAUACCCCGGUAGUCCUAGCCCUAAACGAUGAAUACUUGGUGUGGCGGGUAUCGAUCCCUGCCGUGCCGAAGCUAACGCAUUAAGUAUUCCGCCUGGGGAGUACGGCCGCAAGGCUAA
rnacentral:rRNA from 1 species